rnacentral:rRNA from 1 species
UGCCUGUAAGACUGGAUGGUAACUCCGGGAAACCGGGGCUAAUACCGGAUUCGGUUGUUUGAACCGCAUGGUUCAACAUAAAAGGUGGCGCUUCGGCUACCACUUACAGAUGGACCCGCGGCGCAUUAGCUAGUUGGUGAGUAACGGCUCACCAAGGCAACUGCGUAGCCGACCUGAGAGGGUGAUCGGCCACACUGGGACUAGACACGGCCCAGACUCCUACCGGGGAGGCAGCAGUAGGGAAUCUUCCGCAAUGGACGAAAGUUGACGGAGCAACGCCGCGUGAGUGAUGAAGGUUUUGGAUCGUAAAGUCUGUUUGUUAGGGAAGAGUCACAAGUACCGUUCGAAUAGGGCGGUACCUUGACGGUACCUAACCAGAAAGACCACGGCUAACUACUGCCAGCAGCCGCGGUAUACGUAGGUGGCAAGCGUUGUCCGGAAUUAUUGGGCGUAAAGGGCUCGCAGGCGGUUUCUUAAGUCUGAUGUGAAAGCCCCCGGCUCAACCGGGGAGGGUCAUGGAAACUGGGGAACUUGAGUGCAGAAGAAUCGGAGAGUGGAAUUCCACGUGUAGCGGUGAAAUGCGUAGAAUGUGGAGGAACACCAGUGGCGAAGGCGACUCUCUGGUCUGUAAUCUGACGCUGAGAAGAGCGAAAAGCGUGGGGAGGAACAGGAUUAGAUACCCUGGUAGUCCACGCCGUAAACGAUGAGUGCUAAGUGUUAGGGGGUUCCGCCCCUUAGUGCUGCAGCUAACGCAUUAAGCACUCCGCCUGGGGAGUACGGUCGCAAGACAUGAAACUGGCCAAAGGAAUUGACGGGGGCCCGCACAAGCGGUGGAGCAUGUGGUUUAAUUCGAAGCAACGCGAAGAACCUUACCAGGUCUUGACAUCCUCUGACAAUCCUAGAGAUAGGACGUCCCCUUCGGGGGCAGAGUGACAGGUGGUGCAUGGUUGUCGUCAGCUCGCGUGUCGUGAGAUGUUGGGUUAAGUCCCGCAACGAGCGCAACCCUUGAUCUUAGUUGCCAGCAUUCAGUUGGGCACUCUAAGGUGACUGCCGGUGACAAACCGGAGGAAGGUGGGGAUGACGUCAAAUCACUUCAUGCCCCUUAUGACCUGGGCUACACACGUGCUACAAUGGACAGAACAAAGGGCAGCGAAGCUACCGCGAGGUUAAGCCAAUCCCACAAAU